UACGUAGGGUGCAAGCGUUAAUCGGAAUUACUGGGCGUAAAGCGUGCGCAGGCGGUCUUGCAAGACAGAUGUGAAAUCCCCGGGCUUAACCUGGGAACUGCAUUUGUGACUGCAAGGCUGGAGUACGGUAGAGGGGGAUGGAAUUCCGCGUGUAGCAGUGAAAUGCGUAGAGAUGUGGAGGAAUACCGAUGGCGAAGGCAGCCCCCUGGGAUAACACUGACGCUCAUGCACGAAAGCGUGGGGAGCAAACAGG
rnacentral:rRNA from 1 species